AAAAGGUCUUGUAAGCAGAGAAAUAAGGCUGAGGUCUCACAUGGCCUCAUAUCCAAAGGUUUUAUUCAUCUGUGAAACAAACCAUGUUCAUGAAUCAGCUUCCUCAGCAAUAAUACAUGCAAAAUAAGACUUGCAUUAAAACAGAAAAGAAGAUAUCUCAAGCUGUUGAGAUCCAAUCUUUUUUUUGCUGACUGUAAAGACUUCUACCUUCUGAAGAGUCAAUUGGACUUGACAGAGUACAAGCUCAAGAGGAUAAGCAAUUAUUCGGUGCCUUUUGUGUUUCUGCUCUUCAAAUGCUUACACAAGCAGCUCUACAUCAGAGAACAGCACAGCAGCUCACCAUAGUGCGUGCAGAAGGAAUAUCAAAUGAAAGAAGGAGACUGUCCAGAAGUGGAUGUCCCCUGGGACCCAGAGGAAACCAUGAUAAAAGAGCAAGUUUUCAGAAUCAGCAUGGCCAGAGCUGCUCCAGUUUGUACACCACCUUCAGCCUGGGGCUGUUUUAAGCUUUAUUGGCUAAUGUCUGCAGGGCAAACAAAUGCUGAGGUCCAGCCAGAUUCCAUGUACAUGUACCUUCAUCACUAGAAAUUCUCUUUGACUGGUUUCCAUCUUCCAGGCAAGGAUUUCAGAUAACUUUGAUUCAUUGGAUGAAUGUUGUGCUUAUUGCCUCAGUUAUACUGACCAAUGUGGGGAAAGCAAAGUGAAGAACAACCAGGAAUUCAAGACAUGACUCCAAAGAAAGAUAAUCUAGUAACAAGCUCUCCCUUUUGCCUAAAAGCAGAAUCAUUUUUUGAAAAACACAUGAUAUGUUUAUAAGUAUAUUGGCUUAAAGGAUUUCAAGUAAGACAGAAAAAGAUUCAUUUGAGAAUAUUUGUGGUUUUGGAGUGAGUUAGAUUCUUGGAAGCAUUUUAGACAAGUAGAUUCAAGCUCAGUUCUGUUGAUGCUGAAGUACCACUCAGAAAGUUCAGAGAAUUUCCCAGGAAAACUUAAUGCAUGAAUCCACUCCAGAUCAAAGUGCCUGUGUCUUUACUGACAGCAGUUCUAAGAGCCUUUUGGAGUUCUAGUUCCAUA